AGCUUAUGACUUUAUAGCCCCGCGGAUCCUUUGUCUUAGUGGAUUGUCGAGAUUCUACGGGGCCUUUUGUUGUCCAAUUUACGGGUCUUAGAAUUUUAGUGCAUGGCAAUAUGGGUCUACGUCUCUGUUGAUUGAGUCGAGCAGGAUCGUGAAGACUGUAGGCAGUUUAUGGAGAAGAAAGUUUGGUACCACGUGUUUUCAAAACGUAGCUGCGUUCAUUAUGGAAUAUCGAAGUAAUAGUUGCACCAAAAUACUCCUUUACCAUUUUAUAAUUGGACUUUUAUCAAGAAUAUAAUUAUUAAAACAAACACGAUGCAGCAUUAUAAAUGCUGCAAUAUCUUCUUUCUUGAAUGGGAGGAAAGAAAGAAAAUUGAUAAAAAAAGAUCGCAGAAUGACGAAGGGAUGAAGGUUAAAAAAAAAAAAAAAAAGAAAAAAACGAAAAUAAAACAUGUAAAUGUACAACAUAAUAGUCUCCAUUUUAAUAUAAUGAAUUCAUAAUAGUAAUAGACAAUAAUAAUAAUAAUAAUAAUAAUAAUAUAUGAUGGUGCCAAUAAUAAUAAUAAUAAUAAUAAUAAUAAAAUUAAUAUAAUAAUAAUAAUAAUAAUAAUAAUAAUAGAUAUAUUCUGUCUAUAUUCACAUUCAGAACUAUGUACAGUUUAAUUAAUUUACAAUUGAAUUCGUACGAACAACCAAAUAGAACCUAUUAAUCGUGUGUAGUAUGUAUAUAUAUAUUUAUAUAUUUAUAUUUAUAUAUAUACCUAAUACCUGUAUUAUAUAUAUUCACAACAGAUAGGUCUCUUUCCCUUUUUUUUUCUUUUUUUUUUUUUUUUCUUUUUUUGCGUCGAGGGUACGAUCGUGUACAUACAAGAAGCGCACAAAAUUGUCCUUCGCUUUUUCUUCGACCUUACGAUUCUUUUAUUUUUUUUUUUUUUCGUUUUUUUUAAUUUUUUUUUUUUUCAAUUUUUAUUUUCUCGCAUGGAUUCAUAAAACGAUACACUCGACCCUCGAUGAUGGUAUCUCCCCUGGCUACGCUGAUUAUUAUUUACAAAAAUCAUGAUCGAGUCUCUAUUAUUUAAUUAGUCUAUAUACGAUAUACAUACGUGUCAACGAAUGCACGAGCACCGACCAUCUUCGUCGUGGUAUAUCGGUACCAGUAGUAUUUCCUCCGGUUAUAUAUAUAUAUAUUUUCGUCCAUGUGUAUAUUCUCCAUUCUUCCUCUCUUUCUCGCAUUCUCUCAACCGUUUCUCUCGUUUGCAACUCUUCUCUUUCCAUUUCUACUUAACCUUGCCCAUUAUCACAGAUAUAAAUAAAUGUACUCUUUACAAAACAAUGUACAAUUUCUUCUAUCGCGCUCCUUUCUCGUAUCUCCUCCAAUUUUUCCUCCUCUCUCUCUCUCUCUUUCUCUCGAAGCAAACGACGCAAAUCACGCACCACACUCACUUACACAUUGUGUCAAAGUACAAAAUGAUUUCUACAAUUAGUUUUCUUUCUUUCUUUCUUCUCUCCCCUUCCUGCCUUCGCCUUUCCUUCGUGUCCAUUCCGCUCGUUCGAAAGAAAUCGAGAAACAACUCUACCAUCAAUAAUAUCGAAAGGAGGGAUGAUUUAUACGAUAUACACGUACGAUAUAAAAAAAUAUUAACAAUCUCGAGCACCGUGCACCGUUUCGUUUCUCUGAAACCACGGGUCAAAGGUUGCCCUUUGAAAAUUCCUAUCGCCAAAAACCACGAAAUUUAAUCGAAUCAAAGGGAUCCAAAGAGAUUAAAAUUGUUACACAUACGAACACACGUAUUCGCUCACUCGCACACACACACACACACACACAUACACGUAUUAUAUAUCGAAAUGUUCCAUUUCCACGAGAAACGCGAACAAUCAACGAGCGCACGAUCUAAAAAAAAAUAUAUAUAUAAAAGGAAAAAGAAAUAUAUUGCACAGAGUCGGGUCGAAAGUAAUGAAAUACGAUGCUAAUUAAAACGGAACACGUUGCUAUCGUCGAAGUCUCGUGGCGCGCGUGUCGCAGGAGAGUCCAUAUUGGGAGUGUGCACGAUGCCCGCCGCGGGAAAAGGACGAAUUUUUUUUUUUUUUACACUUAAUUAGUUCAUUAACCAUUCUCUUCACCAUACGACGAUCAUCCAUGGUGGGCAACAUCCAUGAGUGACGAACUUCGGUCGCUCGAGAGAUAUGAAACUCGAGCGGUAUUCGGGAGAAAAAGAUCACGGAGUUUCGAAUAGUCUAUACGGCACAGCGGGAAAAUUGUUCGUCACUCCGCUUCCGCCUAUGCGUUGCAAUAAUUUUGAAUCGGCUUCUCUCACACCGUGGACUCGACUUUGACAAAUUUUCCAAAGAUCCGCCAAGUCAUUUCUUUUUUUUUCCAAACAGCGUGUACACGAGAAUAAUUCAUCGGGAGUUUAAUUAAAGAGUUACUCCGGUAGGUUAAGGAUAGAGUAGCGCCUGUGCGAUCCGCCUUCUCCUCCUUCUUCCCCUUCUCCGCCUCCUCGACGACGCUGCGGCCAAUCCUCGGACAGGACAAAAGGACACGCGAGUUGGUCGAAGGAUAUCGGGAAGUUUGUACAAGAGUCGCUCGUAUUUCACAACACCGUAUAUAUUCGUUACGACUCCAGUGACUUUUAAAAAUAAACACUUUUUUCAGCAGUGUAUCGAUAACUUUGAUAUCGCGCGUAUCUGUGAUGCCAAAGAGGGCGCUACCGGCAAUGCGCACGUCAUAUAAACGCGUUUCCGUUCGCUUUUUUCCUUUUUGGCGAGAAACAAAAUUUUUAAACGACACAAAACGUAACGCGAAAAGUUUUCGUUUUAUCUUCGCGAAAUAAAGAAAGAAAGGAAUUUACGUUGGUG